CCUACGGGAGGCAGCAGUGGGGGAUAUUGCACAAUGGGGGAAACCCUGAUGCAGCGACGCCGCGUGCGGGAAGACGGUCCUCUGGAUUGUAAACCACUGUCCCCAGGGACGAAGAUGACGGUACCUGGGGAGGAAGCUCCGGCUAACUACGUGCCAGCAGCGGCGGUAAUACGUAGGGAGCGAGCGUUGUCCGGAAUUACUGGGUGAAAAGGGAGCGUAGGCGGGACUGCAAGUAGGGUGUCAAAUCUACCGGCUCAACCGGUAGCCGCACUCAAAACUGCAGUUCUUGAGUGAAGUAGGGGCAGGCGGAAUUCCUAGUGUAGCGGUGAAAUGCGUAGAUAUUAGGAGGAACACCAGUGGCGAAGGCGGCCUGCUGGGCUUUUACUGACGCUGAGGCUCGAAAGUGUGGGGAGCAAACAGGAUUAGAUACCCGGGUAGUC
rnacentral:rRNA from 1 species